rnacentral:rRNA from 1 species
CAGUAGCCACGGUAAAACGUAGGGUGCGAGCGUUAAUCGGAAUUACUGGGCGUAAAGCGAGCGCAGACGGUUAUUUAAGCAGGAUGUGAAAUCCCCGGGCUUAACCUGGGAACUGCGUCCUGAACUGGAUAGCUAGAGUGUGUCAGAGGGGGGUAGAAUUCCACGUGUAGCAGUGAAAUGCGUAGAGAUGUGGAGGAAUACCGAUGGCGAAGGCAGCCCCCUGGGAUAACACUGACGUUCAUGCUCGAAAGCGUGGGUAGCAAACAGGAUUAGAUACCCCCGUAGUCCCUGUCUCUUAUAC